rnacentral:tRNA from 1 species
GAAAAAAGUAUGCAAGAACUGCUAACUCUAUGCUCCCGUGUAUAAUAACACGGCUUUUUCGA